CGUGGUGCUGGAUGACCGUUAAUCACGUGUGCCCUCGUUUCACAGAAACUGAAGCAGGACGUCCAAGAGCUUCGGUCCUCGUCCGCGGAACUGCUCAGGGCCGGCCGGGAGCGGCACCGGGACUGUCUGUCUGCCGUCGUGGCGGCCAUCGAGCGAGCGUGGCUGCAGCCCGAGGCUCUGCCGUCGUGGCGGUCCAGGGCCCUCCACCUGGAGCGGUCCUUGCAGGACCUGAGCAUGCAGUACCACCUGGAGAGGCAGAGGAGGAAGCUGCUUCACAACCAGCUGGUGGUGAGCACACUCUCUGCUGGCCACGUCACUGGGUGGCUCAGAGGACAGUGACCUGAGGGGGUCCUGAGUGGAACUGUACGGAAGCCCUGGGUGGGGGUGUGGGGGCAAGAGGGACGGCCAGUGGGCAGGAGUCUGGAGCAGCCAGAGGGACAGGGACAGCCGGGUCAGUGUGGACUCCUCGACCUGACCUGGGUACGAAAAGCCGAGUCGGCCGGUGGAGGCGGGAGAAACGAGCCUUAGUAGCAGGUGUGCGAAAAAGCGCUGAAGAUCCCGGUGGCCGCCAGCAGCAGCGUCACCGAGUCACCCGUGUGGCCACACUGCACCCUGACUGUUUUGACGUGUUCUCGUAAAGUCACACAGACUGAGGCUGGUUCGUCCUCCGCUUCCGUGCGGGAGGGCACGCACUCGGCGUGGCACUGCACGCCGGUCCCGCUGUUGGCCAGGCUUGGUUUCCGUUUCCACGACGUCCCCUCGUGCUGCCCAUUCAGACAGACCCUGUGGAGGGUCCAGAUGACGGGCAGAAGCACCAGGGUUCAGAAGCCGCUUCUAAAACGCCUAGAAGGUUUAGCCCGGGAGGCCAUUAAAAGGUGUUUGCUUGAUACUUGUUACCGAGUGACCCUCAUUUGCCAAGUGAAGAAAUUUAAGAAUGGAUUUUUUUAAAAGCUAAAACACUGUUAACUGCUCCACAGGGGUGUUUUCAAAAGUUGAGAUGUGGGCAGGCAGCGAGGGCUCGCGUCCCGGGGAGCGAAUCAGUGUGUGUGCCUUGCGGGCACUGUUGGUCAGCGGCCUCCUCCCUGUGCCAGGGUGACACACUUCACUGUCACAGGAGCUGAACGGGAGCAUCAGAGUCCACUGCCGGAUCCGUCCUGUGCUGCCUUUCGAUGAUGAAUCUGAUGGCGCAGUUCCGCGUGACAGCUCCGUGUGCCCGGACGUGGCCCGCGCCGUUGACGACGAGACCGUCCUGGUGCAGUGCAGUCGGCCCGGUCAUCCUUCGAUCAAUAAGACAUUCAACUUUGAAAGGUGAGUGCUUUCCAGAAUGACACGUAAAGCGAAGUCGUGCAGACACGGAUCACGCACUAGUGUGCAGCCUGCCCCGUCCUGUGGCCAGUCACAAAGAGCAGAGGGAACUCUGGUCAGCGGAUGGCACUGAGCACCUGGACAGCCACGUGCCGCAGGAAGUGAACCUUGCUCUGCACGUCACAGCUUUGGUCAAAAUGAACCGAGGUGGAGCGGAGUAGAAAGCGUAACGCCGUAAAACGUUCACAGGAAAACAGGAGAAAGUGUUUGUGACCCGCACGAAGCAGAGAAUCGCGAGAUGCCCUCAAAAGCGUGGUCCACGGAAGAGUAAAAACAAGCUGGGCUUUAUCGAAACCGAAGCCUUUUUGCCCACGUGUGAUGCUGUUAGGACAAUGAAAACACAAGCCACGCACUGGAGGAGGCGUCGGGAACGCGCAGGGCUCCCCGGGAACCAGGCCCUGAAGAGCGCGGUGCCCGUCUUCGCUCAGUCCUGUCUCUGGGGCGUUUCCUGGUUUCCUCACAGAGGGCGGAGGCGGCGCUUGUCCCCUCACGCCCGGGGUCGCC